rnacentral:rRNA from 1 species
UAAGGGCGCACGGUGGAUGCCUUGGCACUAGAAGCCGAUGAAGGACGUUACUAACGACGAUAUGCUUUGGGGAGCUGUAAGUAAGCUUUGAUCCAGAGAUUUCCGAAUGGGGAAACCCAGCAUGAGUUAUGUCAUGUUAUCGAUAUGUGAAUACAUAGCAUAUCAGAAGGCACACCCGGAGAACUGAAACAUCUUAGUACCCGGAGGAAGAGAAAGAAAAUUCGAUUCCCUUAGUAGCGGCGAGCGAAACGGGAAGAGCCCAAACCAACAAGCUUGCUUGUUGGGGUUGUAGGACACUCUAUACGGAGUUACAAAGGACGACAUUAGACGAAUCAUCUGGAAAGAUGAAUCAAAGAAGGUAAUAAUCCUGUAGUCGAAAAUGUUGUCUCUCUUGAG